UUCGUAUAGCCGCGCUCCAGGUCGAGAUCAUAGUCAUUCAGAUCUUGAGCCUUGUUUUGUUAACAUCUAAAUUUUCUAUUUGUACAUUUUUGUGACUGUUUUCGGGCUUGUUAUGUCUUUUCUGUAGUAGUUGACUCUUUACUGUGUUAGUGGGCCCAGGAACCAAAAAUCGGAACAUUUUCUGAUUAUAUAUCACAACAUCUGUGCCUGUUUCCGUGAAGAACUAAACCAUAAACACGAUGUGUUAUCCAUGCUACUCGUGCUGUGGCUCUUGCUGCUCCCCUUACUGCUAUAGAGGCUGCUAUUCGUGUUGCUCCCCUUGUUGUGGCUCGUGUUCUAAUCCUUGCGGAUCUUGCUGUGGCGGAUGCGGCUGUGGCUCGUGUUGUUGGUAGCAUCUUCAGAACGAAAUCUAGGUACUAAUCUUAGUACAAAUAAAAACAAGUGCUUUGUAGCUUUAAACAUGUGUCUAACAAAUACAUGCAUAUAA